UACGAAGGGGGCUAGCGUUGUUCGGAAUUACUGGGCGUAAAGCGCACGUAGGCGGAUAUUUAAGUCAGUGGUGAAAUCUCCGGGCUCAACCCGGAAACUGCCAUUGAUACUAUUGGUCUUGAAUAUUGUGGAGGUGGGCGGAACGGGUCAUGUAGCGGUGAAAUGCUUAGAGAUGACCCGGAACACCGAUUGCGAAGGCAGCCCACUACGCAAUGAUUGACGCUGAGGCACGAAAGCGUGGGGAUCAAACAGG
rnacentral:rRNA from 1 species